rnacentral:lncRNA from 1 species
UCCUAUUUGUAAUAAAAUUACAAAAUUCAAAUUCAAAUCCAAAUAUAAAUCAAAACUCAAAAUUUUAGCGAUUUUUCUAAUACAAAUAUAUCUAAUCCUACUUAAAAACUUUCAAAAACUAUUCCUAAUUUUUAGGAAUUUAUUCCAACAGAAAAAUCCUAAAAAUAUAAAAAAUCACUAAAACAAAUUUACCAAACAAAAAUCUAAAAUCUUUAGAAAAUAAAAUUUAAUUAUAGUUAUUAUUUU